rnacentral:rRNA from 1 species
GACGAACGCUGGCGGCGUGCUUAACACAUGCAAGUCGAACGGAAAGGCCCUGCUUUUGUGGGGUGCUCGAGUGGCGAACGGGUGAGUAACACGUGAGUAACCUGCCCUUGACUUUGGGAUAACUUCAGGAAACUGGGGCUAAUACCGGAUAGGAGCUCCUGCUGCAUGGUGGGGGUUGGAAAGUUUCGGCGGUUGGGGAUGGACUCGCGGCUUAUCAGCUUGUUGGUGGGGUAGUGGCUUACCAAGGCUUUGACGGGUAGCCGGCCUGAGAGGGUGACCGGCCACAUUGGGACUGAGAUACGGCCCAGACUCCUACGUGAGGCAGCAGUGGGGAAUAUUGCACAAUGGGCGGACGCCUGAUGCAGCAACGCCGCGUGCGGGAUGCCGGCCUUCGGGUUGUAAACCGCUUUCGCCUGUGACGAAGCGUGAGUGACGGUAAUGGGUAAAGAAGCACCGGCUAACUACGUG